GAUGAACGCUGGCGGCGUGCCUAAUACAUGCAAGUCGAGCGAACAGAUGAGGAGCUUGCUCCUCUGACGUUAGCGGCGGACGGGUGAGUAACACGUGGAUAACCUACCUAUAAGACUGGGAUAACUUCGGGAAACCGGAGCUAAUACCGGAUAAUAUAUUGAACCGCAUGGUUCAAUAGUGAAAGACGGUUUUGCUGUCACUUAUAGAUGGAUCCGCGCCGCAUUAGCUAGUUGGUAAGGUAACGGCUUACCAAGGCAACGAUGCGUAGCCGACCUGAGAGGGUGAUCGACCACACUGGAACUGAGACACGGUCCAGACUCCUACGGGAGGCAGCAGUAGGGAAUCUUCCGCAAAGGGCGAAAGCCUGACGGAGCAACGCCGCGUGAGUGAUGAAGGUCUUCGGAUCGUAAAACUCUGUUAUUAGGGAAGAACAAAUGUGUAAGUAACUAUGCACGUCUUGACGGUACCUAAUCAGAAAGCCACGGCUAACUACGUG
rnacentral:rRNA from 1 species